rnacentral:rRNA from 1 species
CCUACGGGGGGCAGCAGUGAGGAAUCUUCCACAAUGGACGAAAGUCUGAUGGAGCGACACCGCGUGAAGGAUGAAGGCCUAACGGUUGUAAACUUCUUUUCUGAAGGAGCAUAAUGAGAGUACUUCAGGAAUAAGGGACGGCUAAAUACGUGCCAGCAGCCGCGGUAAUACGUAUGUCUCGAGCGUUACCCGGAAUCACUGGGUGUAAAGGGUUCGUAGGCGGUUUAAUAAGUUGGAUAUGAAAGACCGGAGCUCAACUUCGUGUUUGUCUUCAAAACUGUUAAACUAGAAUCAGGGAGAGGUAAGUAGAAUUCUAAGUGUAGGGGUGCAAUCCGUAGAUACUUAGAGGAAUACCAAAAGCGAAGGCAACUUACCGGAACUGUAUUGACGCUGAGGAACGAAAGCGUGGGUAGCGAAAAGGAUUAGAUACCCCAGUAGUC